GUUUUUCUUCUUCUUUUUC
rnacentral:sRNA from 1 species